AGAGUUGGUCUGGCAGUCGCUUUAUUACUUGAGUUUCAAAUAAUACAGAGGAAAGUCCGGGCUCCACAGGGCAAGGUACCAGAUAACUUCUGGGGGGCGUGAGCCUACGGAAAGUGCAGCAGAAAAUAAACCGCCCCGCCCCUGAAACUUCGUUUCAAGGGCGGGGUAAGGAUGAAAUGGUGCGGUAAGAGCGCAUCGCGUGACUGGUAACAGGAGCGGCAUGGUAAACCCUACCUGGAGCAAGAUCAAAUAGAGAAGCAGACGCGCUGCCCGCGCGGCUUCUGGGUAGAUCGCUUGAGCCAUAAGGUGACUUAUGGCCUAGA
rnacentral:RNase_P_RNA from 1 species